UCCCGUAAACCGUAGCUCAGUUCAGAUCGUAGGCUGCAACUCGCCUACGUGAAGGAGGAAUCGCUAGUAAUCGCAGGUCAGCAUACUGCGGUGAAUACGUUCCCGGGCCUUGUACACACCGCCCGUCACACCAUGGAAGUUGGCCACGCCCGAAGCCGUUACUCCAACCCUCGGGAGGAGGACGUCGAAGGUAGGGCUGAUGACUGGGGUGAAGUCGUAACAAGGUAUCCGUACCGGAAGGUGCGGAUGGAUCACCUCCUAA
rnacentral:rRNA from 1 species